rnacentral:rRNA from 3 species
UUAAAUUGAAGAGUUUGAUCAUGGCUCAGAUUGAACGCUGGCGGCAGGCCUAACACAUGCAAGUCGAGCGGAAACGAGUUAUCUGAACCUUCGG